GGUUCCACUCCAUAUACCGACUGUCGCUGAUAGUGUAGUGAUUUUCCAGCAGCGGAAAAUAUAGCAUCUGUUUCGACAGAUUGGUACUCUGUUGUAGAGAAAAGCUCAAAGAAGAGACGCCAGGCGCAUGCUCCCGAUAGUUGUCCGUACAACCACCACCGAUAACAACAACGUUGGACCGAGCGGCCGCAAGACCUUCGCCGAAAUGCAGAAAAAGCUUGCGCAUUUCUAAAAAUGUCUAUAUCCUGCUGGCGUUAAAGGACCGACGAGCAUCAAAAGAGAUAGCUCCGAGUAUUUGCCAUUCAGAUAAGAACCGCGGAAACACAGAAGUAGAACACCAUCUGAAUGAGCAGCUCUUCUCUCCAAUAUGUGUGUAAAGCAAAAAAAAAAAACGAGCAUGCAGGGCAAACAUAGUCACUACGAGUGUGUUCGAAAGCUGAUUUCCAGAUUUGACCAAUCCUCGCGGGGGAAUUUUACGAUGCUCGUGAAGCUUUCCCAUGUGCUGGCUCCACAAAAGGACGCGAGAAACGACAGCCGCGAUUAAAUCUGCGAAGUUGAGGGUGGAGAGAGACACACUAUAAGAAUUGUGUCUAUAUGUACAAAUACUAGCUGUAGCUAGCUAGCGAUAUUUGGUUUAGCGUGGUAUUUGAAGAUUAAUGUUAAGUUCUUUCAUUUUCAAUGCCGGCACACUUAGUUGAUUACUGUUGCUCUGUUCUUUUGUCUAUUCUGCAAAGCUUAGAUUUCUGUCAUUGGCAUAGUAUUAGUGAAUAGUAAAGAAUAAGCAAAGUAAAAACUGCAUCUGGGUUAGAACUAAAGUUUAAUACAAGCUACCUUAAGAGAUCUAAAUCUAUACAUAGGUGUGUAGGUGAAGGAAAUACACACUUCUCUUCAUUCUAAUUACGCAACGCAGAUGGGAUUCGGAUGCAUUAACAAUCGUACAAGUUCGUAAAUCGGCAAUUAUACCACCUCUACUCUGGAGACACUCGCCAUGAGCGGCAGAAGGCAUGCGCUUUAUACCCAUACUCUGGAACACCGUAGAUGGUAGUAUGGCUCACCCCGUUCGACGACAGGGCAGCCGCCACAAUCCACAGUAGGAGCCAUAACCUCUUUCGACUACUUCAAAAGCGAACAAUAAAACGCAUUCCCCACGACAUGAUUUAUAGUA